GGUCACUGCUAUCGGUGUUCGUCUAAGCCAUGCGAGUCAUAUGUUCUUCGGAACAUGGCGUACUGCCCAGUAACACGUGGAUAACCUGCCCUUGGGUCUGGCAUAACUCCGGGAAACUGGGGAUAAUACCGGAUAACGCAUAUCUGCUGGAAUUCUUUAUGCGUGAAAUGGAUUCGUCUGCCCAAGGAUGGGUCUGCGGCCUAUCAGGUAGUAGUGGGUGUAAUGUACCUACUAGCCGACGACGGGUACGGGUUGUGAGAGCAAGAGCCCGGAGAUGGAUUCUGAGACAUGAAUCCAGGCCCUACGGGGCGCAGCAGGCGCGAAAACUUUACAAUGCGGGAAACCGUGAUAAGGGGACACCGAGUGCCAGCAUUAUAUGUUGGCUGUCCGGGUGUGUAAAAUACACCUGUUAGCAAGGGCCGGGCAAGACCGGUGCCAGCCGCCGCGGUAACACCGGCGGCCCGAGUGGUGAUCGUGUUUAUUGGGUCUAAAGGGUCCGUAGCCGGUUUGGUCAGUCCUCCGGGAAAUCUGACGGCUUAACCGUUAGGCUUUCGGGGGAUACUGCCAGACUUGGAACCGGGAGAGGUAAGAGGUACUACAGGGGUAGGAGUGAAAUCUUGUAAUCCCUGUGGGACCACCUGUGGCGAAGGCGUCUUACCAGAACGGGUUCGACGGUGAGGGACGAAAGCUGGGGGCACGAACCGGAUUAGAUACCCGGGUAGUCCCAGCCGUAAACGAUGCUCGCUAGGUGUCAGGCAUGGCGCGACCGUGUCUGGUGCCGCAGGGAAGCCGUGAAGCGAGCCACCUGGGAAGUACGGCCGCAAGGCUGAAACUUGA
rnacentral:rRNA from 1 species